UACGUAGGGUGCAAGCGUUUAUCCGGAAUUAUUGGGCGUAAAGAGCUCGUAGGUGGUUUGUCGCGUUGUUCGUGAAAACUCACAGCUUAACUGUGGGCGUGCGGGCGAUACGGGCAGACUAGAGUACUGCAGGGGAGACUGGAAUUCCUGGUGUAGCGGUGGAAUGCGCAGAUAUCAGGAGGAACACCGGUGGCGAAGGCGGUUCUCUGGGGAAUGUCCUGACGCUGGAGGAAGCGAAAGCCGUGGGGAGUAAACAGG
rnacentral:rRNA from 1 species